rnacentral:lncRNA from 12 species
GGCCAGGUUCCUGAGAAGCAGGAUUACCUGCUAAAACUGGGAAAGUCCUGGCAGUCGAGCACACUAGCAGCUGUGCCUUCCCAGCCACUCUCCACCAGGUGUGAAGAGAGUUUGGAGAACACAUUCCUGCCAUGGGUCCUAGUGACAAUUUUGGCCCACAAGAAAUGGAGAUGGGUGUCACCCUCAAGUGUGUGGAGCUUGUUAGGUGGCAUGACAGGAAAUGAAGCCGAAUAUGAGAAAGUCCUCAGGAGUUCUUCCAACAGUGAAAACAAACACAAACCAGUGAAAUCCCACUCUGGAGAGAACGUGAAAGUUGAAAUGACACAGCAAGACUUAUGUCCAGAGGUUUUCAACUGGAGCCUGGAAGCCAUAAGCCUGGAAGCCUUAUGCCCAUCCUUACCUGGUGGAACCAUGAACUUUGAAUGGGGCCAACCCCCAAAUAUCUCAAGGACUGUGCAAAAACAUACCGGCAAGUUCCUACAGUAACAGAUUUUUGCUCAGUUAAAGCCUUAGCAACCAGUUGGAUUAAGGCAAGAUUAGUUUUCUGCCACUAGUACCAAUCAAAAUUCUUUGUAAGCAACAUAUUCAAGCA